AGGUAUGUCGUAUGCUUGUGUUCAUUGGAGAAAUCCGAUAUACGCAGGGCUUUAAUCUUGGCAGAGUUUGUAUUGAAUAUUGAGACUUGUUAGUGUUUGUAUUGAAGAGAAUGUGAUGUAUAUAUAGGACUUUAGAUCUGA